AUUGAACGCUGGCGGCAGGCCUAACACAUGCAAGUCGAACGGUAACAGGAAGAAGCUUGCUUCUUUGCUGACGAGUGGCGGACGGGUGAGUAAUGUCUGGGAAACUGCCUGAUGGAGGGGGAUAACUACUGGAAACGGUAGCUAAUACCGCAUAACGUCGCAAGACCAAAGAGGGGGACCUUCGGGCCUCUUGCCAUCGGAUGUGCCCAGAUGGGAUUAGCUAGUAGGUGGGGUAACGGCUCACCUAGGCGACGAUCCCUAGCUGGUCUGAGAGGAUGACCAGCCACACUGGAACUGAGACACGGUCCAGAAUCCUACGGGAGGCAGCAGUGGGGAAUAUUGCACAAUGGGCGCAAGCCUGAUGCAGCCAUGCCGCGUGUAUGAAGAAGGCCUUCGGGUUGUAAAGUACUUUCAGCGGGGAGGAAGGGAGUAAAGUUAAUACCUUUGCUCAUUGACGUUACCCGCAGAAGAAGCACCGGCUAACUCCGUG
rnacentral:rRNA from 1 species